UACGUAGGGUGCAAGCGUUAAUCGGAAUUACUGGGCGUAAAGCGUGCGCAGGCGGUUUUGUAAGACUGUCGUGAAAUCCCCGGGCUUAACCUGGGAAUGGCGAUGGUGACUGCAAGGCUAGAGUUUGGCAGAGGGGGGUAGAAUUCCACGUGUAGCAGUGAAAUGCGUAGAGAUGUGGAGGAACACCGAUGGCGAAGGCAGCCCCUGGGUCAAGACUGACGCUCAUGCACG
rnacentral:rRNA from 1 species